rnacentral:rRNA from 1 species
GGAUGUGAUCAUACCAGCACUAACGCACCGGAUCCCAUCAGAACUCCGAAGUGAAGCGUGCUUGGGCGAGAGUAGUACUAGGAUGGGUGACCCCCUGGGAAGUCCUCGUGUUGCAUCCC